CAGAGACUGCAAGCGUUAUUCGGAUUCACUGGGCGUAAAGGGUGCGCAGGCGGUUGGGUGUGUCAGAUGUGAAAUCCCGAGGCUCAACCUCGGAACUGCGUCUGAAACUACUCGACUAGAGUACUGGAGUGGGUAACGGAAUUCACGGUGUAGCAGUGAAAUGCGUAGAUAUCGUGAGGAACACCAGAGGCGGAGGCGGUUACCUGGACAGUUACUGACGCUCAGGCACGAAAGCAUGGGGAGCAAAAGGGAUUAGAUACCCCUGUAGUCCAUGCCCUAAACGGUGCACACUAGGUCUUAGCGGAUUCGACCCCACUAGGGCCCAAGCUAACGCGUUAAGUGUGCCGCCUGAGGACUACGGUCGCAAGACUA
rnacentral:rRNA from 1 species